GAUGAACGCUGGCGGCGUGCCUAAUACAUGCAAGUCGAGCGAACGGACGAGAAGCUUGCUUCUCUGAUGUUAGCGGCGGACGGGUGAGCAACACGUGGAUAACCUACCUAUAAGACUGGGAUAACUUCGGGAAACCGGAGCUAAUACCGGAUAAUAUUUUGAACCGCAUGGUUCAAAAGUGAAAGACGGUUUUGCUGUCACUUAUAGAUGGAUCCGCGCGGCAUUAGCUAGUUGGUAAGGUAACGGCUUACCAAGGCAACGAUGCAUAGCCGACCUGAGAGGGUGUUCGCCACCACUGAACCUGGGACCCGGUCAGACCCCCUCCGGAGGGCGGCGGUGGGAAUUCUUCCGCAAUGGGCGAAGGCCUGCCGGGCCACCGCCGCGUGGGUGAUAAAGGUCUUCGAUUCGUAAAACUCUGUUAUUGGGAAAAAACAUAUGUGUAGGUAACUGUGCCGAUCUUAACGGUACCUAAUCAGAAGGCCCCGGCUACCUACGU
rnacentral:rRNA from 1 species